rnacentral:tRNA from 1 species
GGGCUCGUGGCCUAAUCCGGUUAUGGCGGCUCCUUUACAAGGAGUAGGUUCCAGGUUCAAAUCCUGGCGGGCCCA